CAUGCGUCAAGUCUCCGCGUUCGUAACAAGGUAUCCCGGGCGGCCGCUCGAGCCCAAUAGAGAGAAGCUUGCUUCUCUUGAGAGCGGCGGACGGGUGAGUAAUGCCUAGGAAUCUGCCUGGUAGUGGGGGAUAACGUUCGGAAACGGACGCUAAUACCGCAUACGUCCUACGGGAGAAAGCAGGGGACCUUCGGGCCUUGCGCUAUCAGAUGAGCCUAGGUCGGAUUAGCUAGUUGGUGGGGUAAUGGCUCACCAAGGCGACGAUCCGUAACUGGUCUGAGAGGAUGAUCAGUCACACUGGAACUGAGACACGGUCCAGACUCCUACGGGAGGCAGCAGUGGGGAAUAUUGGACAAUGGGCGAAAGCCUGAUCCAGCCAUGCCGCGUGUGUGAAGAAGGUCUUCGGAUUGUAAAGCACUUUAAGUUGGGAGGAAGGGUUGUAGAUUAAUACUCUGCAAUUUUGACGUUACCGACAGAAUAAGCACCGGCUAACUCUGUGCCAGCAGCCGCGGUAAUACAGAGGGUGCAAGCGUUAAUCGGAAUUACUGGGCGUAAAGCGCGCGUAGGUGGUUAGUUAACUUGGAUGUGAAAUCCCCGGGCUCAACCUGGGAACUGCAUUCAAAACUGACUGACUAGAGUAUGGUAGAGGGUGGUGGAAUUUCCUGUGUACCGCUGAAAUGCGUAGAUAUAUUGAAGGAAC
rnacentral:rRNA from 1 species